UUGCUUUGGCAGCACAUGCACUAAAAUUAUAAUGAUAUAGAGAAGAUCAGCAUGGCUCCCAUGCAAAUAUGACCUACAAAUUUGUGAAAGAUUUGUUAGAUAU
ensembl:snRNA U6 U6 spliceosomal RNA